ACGCUGGCGGCGUGCCUAAUACAUGCAAGUUGAGCGCUGAAGGUUGGUACUUGUACCAACUGGAUGAGCAGCGAACGGGUGAGUAACGCGUGGGGAAUCUGCCUUUGAGCGGGGGACAACAUUUGGAAACGAAUGCCAAUACCGCAUAAAAACUUUAAACACAAGUUUUAAGUUUGAAAGAUGCAAUUGCAUCACUCAAAGAUGAUCCCGCGUUGUAUUAGCUAGUUGGUGAGGUAAAGGCUCACCAAGGCGAUGAUACAUAGCCGACCUGAGAGGGUGAUCGGCCACAUUGGGACUGAGACACGGCCCAAACUCCUACGGGAGGCAGCAGUAGGGAAUCUUCGGCAAUGGACGAAAGUCUGACCGAGCAACGCCGCGUGAGUGAAGAAGGUUUUCGGAUCGUAAAACUCUGUUGGUAGAGAAGAACGUUGGUGAGAGUGGAAAGCUCAUCAAGUGACGGUAACUACCCAGAAAGGGACGGCUAACUACGUGCCAGCAGCCGCGGUAAUACGUAGGUCCCGAGCGUUGUCCGGAUUUAUUGGGCGUAAAGCGAGCGCAGGUGGUUUAUUAAGUCUGGUGUAAAAGGCAGUGGCUCAACCAUUGUAUGCAUUGGAAACUGGUAGACUCGAGUGCAGAAGAGGAAAGUGGAAUUCCAUGUGUAGCGGUGAAAUGCGCAGAGAUAUGGAGGAACACCAGUGGCGAAGGCGACUUUCUGGUCUGUAACUGACGCUGAUGUGCGAAAGCG
rnacentral:rRNA from 2 species